AGCUGUGUGAUAAACACAGAGCGAACUAUUCUUUCGCCUUUUACUAAAGAAUACCGUGUAUUUGUCACUUUAAGCGGCAUACGCUAAUUUUUGAUAAGAGCUUUUCUUCUUUG